rnacentral:tRNA from 1 species
AGGAGUGUAGCUCAGUCUGGGCAGAGCAACGGUCUCCAAAACCGUAGGUCGUGGGUUCGAAUCCCUCCACUCCUGCCA